rnacentral:lncRNA from 1 species
GGGGAAUGCACAUGACAGUGUAAUAAGAUACCACCACAGUGUGUUAGAAGGCAGGAAGUUAAAGAGACUAACCACAGGGGUGGGGAGAGGUUGACCUGAGCUACAGUUAGACAGGAGGAGGAAACUCGGGUGUGCUUUGCACACAAGGGUGACUACAGGUAACAAUCAUGUAUUAUAUAUGUCAAAGAACCGUGAGAGGACUCUGAACGUCUUUCCCAUGAAGAAAUGAUGAGAAGACAGAUAGGUCCACCUGAUGUAAACAUUGCUCAGGUAUGUGUUAUGGUUAGAAUAUGCGGUGUUCCUCCAAAGGCUCCUGUCAACGCAGGAAUGUUGGGGUGGAAGAGUGGACUGUGAGAGCUGGAGCCCAAUUGUGCAUCCGAGUUUCAAUGGACUGACUGGGCGGGGACGGGACAGGGCAGGUGGGACAUGCUGGAGGAGGUGAGUCACUGGGCUGUGCCCUGGAGGGGUGCAUCUUCCCCGCAGCCUCUUCCUCUGUCUCUCUGCCUCCCGGCCGCCUUGAGCUGAGCAGCUGGCCUGUGCGGGCCCUCCCCCAGGAGGUGCUGCCUCACCUGGGCCCAGAGUCGGCCGCCUAUGGACUGAGGCCUCUGAAACAUGAGCCCCAGGUAAACUUCUCCUCCUUAAGUUGUUCUUGUUGGGUAUUUUGGUCACAGUGGCACAAAAGCUCACUAAAACAGGGUUGAAACAUUACAUGGCACUCCAUAAAUAUGUAUAAUAUUUAUAUUUUUUUAGUAUCUUUUAAAAAAUAAAUUUAACCUAAGUAACUCAGCAAGACCCUGUCUCUAAAUAAAAUACAAAAAAGGGGGGCUGGAGAUGUGGCUCAAGUGGUAGUGCGUUGGUACCAAAAUAAAUAAAUAAAUUGAUUAAUUAACUAAAUUUAGCCAGACAGAGUGGCAUACACCUGAAAUCCCACAACUUGAGUGGCUGAGGCAGGAGGAUUGAAAGUUUGAGGCCAACCUCGAUAACUCAGCAAGGCUGUUAGCAACUUAGCAAAACCUUGUCUCAAAAUGAAAAACAGAAAGGGCUGGGGAUGUGGCUCAGUGGUUAAGCACCUUGGUUUAAUCCCUGGUGCUACUAGACUAGUAUUAUCAGUAAUACUACUACCACUAAAUAAUAAUAAUAAUAAUAAUAACAACAACUUAACUAAGUUUAAAAAGACAUCAUGUCAUGCAAGGAUAUGGAGCAGCUGAACUCCCCCUGUGCAGCUGCUGGAAUGUAACAUAACACUUGGGAAAUAUUUGGCCCUUUCUUUAAAGCUUAAACACACACCUGUGUGACCAAUCAUUCCACUCCUAGGCAUUUACCCAGGAGAACUGAAAGCAUAUGUCUCUCCCAAGACUUGUAAACAAAUGUUUAUAGCAACUUUAUCUGUGAUAGCCCCAGCUGCAAACAGCGCAGAUGCCCAUCAGCAGGCAAGCAGAUAACCAGAUUGUGGUGUCUUCAUAUAAUGGUAUGAAAAGGGAUGAAAAUUCACGGAAUCAACAGGGUGAAUCUCAAGGCAGUGAUGGGAAGGAAAGAAACCCGACAGAAAAGAGCCCUCGCACGUGACUCCAUUUACAUAAAAAUCUAGAAAAGGCCAUCUCAUCCUGGCAGCAGGGGGCAGGUCAGAGGUCGCCAGGGAAGGCAGGGAAAGGCCAGGGAGUGGUAGUGACAAAGCAGGUGCUUUUAGGGCUGCUAGACACGUUCAGUACGUUGCCGUGAUGGUGGCCACAGGUGUGCGUGUGCCAGAAAGUGUCGGGCCAUUGGCUUUGCACACUGUGUGUCACUCAGAUCCAAAUAAAGCCUCCCCUUCUUGCUCCUGUGGAAGAGAGAGAUCCUAAUCAGAUUGGUGAGGUUCCAGGUGAUGAGGCCAUGUGUGCCCACUCAGGUGGACAUGGGGGUGUGUGGCCGCCCUUCCUUCCACCUCUCCUGCAGGCAGCCAGUGACCCCCUGUGGCAGGGGUCAGCCUGGGCGGGGUGGGGUGGGGUGAAGCUGGUCCCCACAGGUGUUCUCUGUAGGGCCCACUUUCUGGGUUCUCUAGCCUGGGCUUCUGGCCAGUGUGGAGGUGGUACCUUCCCCAGGGCUCUCCCUCUCCCCCAGCCCUCCCCGGGAGGGAGGAGGAUGCUAGGAGACUACGGAUGGUCCUGGGCUCCCUAGCACUGAGCCACCGUCCACUCUGCCAAUCUCACGGCCACCCCACACCUGCAGUUCCAGUGGGGCCACCAGUCCGUACUGGGGAGUUGGCACUGUCCUCUGUCACCGCCCAGGGAGUGGAGUGUGUCAGCAGGUGGCACCGCGGUGGUGCUGUGUCAGGAGGACACUGUGGAAGCCUCGUGGCCGCAGCGCAGGAGGCCCUCUGCCUCGCACCUUUAUUUUAUUUUUUUUUUAAUUUUUUUUUUUUAAGAGAGAGAGAGAGAGAAUUUUUUUUUUAAUAUUUAUUUUUCAGUUCUCGGCGGACACAACAUCUUUGUUUGUAUGUGGUGCUGAGGAUCGAACCCGGGCCGCACGCAUGGCAGGUGAGCGCGCUACCGCUUGAGCCACAUCCCCAGCCCCAGCCCCUUUAUUUUACUUGUGUAUUUUAUGUGGUGCUGAGGCUCGAACCCAGGGCCUCGAAUGUGCUAGGCGAGUGCUCCACUGCUGAGCCCCAGCCCCGCCCCUGCUUAAUAGAUUUAUUAAUGAAGUGUACGCUUAUAGCUAAGAUGGUAAUUUUUGUGUGUAUCUUAUCACAAAAACAAUGAUACAGAAUGGUAGAUAAUGCCAGAAGCCCAUACAGGGGUAGGGCAGUGACGUGGCAGCUCUGGGCGGGGCCCUUCAUCAAAGGAGCUAACAGCACCUAGCUCAGACCCCACACAACUCCACAAGGUCACCACCUCUUUCUACCUCCAAGGUCACCGGGGAUGCUCAGGGGGUGUGACUAACCUGUUGGGGCCGCCCGCCGGGGCAGAUACUGGGCCCAGGUCCUGCUCGCGGAGCUCUGAGGAUGUCCAACAAUGGCGACAGAGGUGGAUGUUAACUGAGCCCUAAGCACUUGGCAAGACUCAGAGAUGGGCUGCUGCUGACUACCGAAGCAGCUGGGCCCAAAAGAGCACGACACUUGAUCCCAUCCAUGUGAAGUGCCCGACACAGGGAGUUGGUGGCAAUGGGAAGUGGACUAAGGGUCACCUGGGGCUGGGCAACCGAAAGGGGCAUGGCUAAAAGGUUCAGCAUUUCUUUUUCUGAGAUGAUACAAAAAUCCCCAAAUUGACUGGUGAUCACUGUACUAUGGUCUGUAUUCCCCCCCACCCCCCAAAUUCAUGUGUUGAACCUGAUCACCAGUGUGAGGGUGUGGAGGUGGGACCUGUGGGAGACACCUGGGAUCAGUGUCCUUACAGAAGAGGCUGCAGGGGCCCACACUCUCACCCUUUCCCCCACUGAGGAACCUGGAAGUGCCCUCCUGAGACAUAGUUGGCCACACCCUGAUCAGAGCUCUGAGGAAUCAGUUUCUGUGGCUUCUGAGCAGCCAGUCUGUGGUGUUUUGUUACAGCAUCUGAAUGGACUGACUCACUGCAUAGAUCUGUGCAUACACUAACAACCGUAGAACCGCACUGCACAGGUGGGAAGGGAAUUGUAUCCCAAUAAAUUUGUGAAUAAAAAUAUCUUUAAUACAUUCAUCUCACCAUCUGACGGACACGCAGUACACAGCUGUUGAGGAUGCUAAGAAUCCUAAAUAACCAAGCCUGGCCCUGGUCACCUGGAUGUGGCAUAUGAGUUUAGCCACAUUUAGCUAGUGGCGUCUCUCGGUUAAUCCUGGGUUUCCAGGAUGACUGCUCUGGGGUGGAGUGGGGCGGGGUCCCCUAUGCAUGUCUGACACUAAGACUGUGACAUCCUUUCCCACCUUGCCAGGGAAGGGCCACACUGGGGUUGUGUGUCUCUGGCCUGAGGUCUAGGAAGCUCAGGCAUGCGAGGUCAGGCCGACUCGCCAGCCAAGAAUAGCGCACGGCUUCUCCCUGCAUCCUGCUCACUAUAAACACCCAGUGCACCACCUCUCAUCUGUCUGAUUACAAAUGUCUGCGAUAAAAUAUGACCCUGGGCCUGGGCCAGUGGGGGAGAUAGUCCCAUCUCUGCAUUCCCAGCCAUGCUGUCUGGGGAGACAAGUGGGCAGAACCAGACUGGCCUUUGCCAGGUGCGAGGUCACCCUUUAUAUUUGCCUUUCUGGACAUGGGCACAAAGACAGAAUCCAUUUGCUCAGAUGCCUUUUCUUGCAUUUGAAACUUUCUAUUUCUGCUGGGCACAGAGGAGCACACCUGUCAUCUCAGCUACUCUUGGGAGGCUGAGGCAGGAGGAUCACAAGUUUGAGGCCAGCCUGGGAAGCUUGGUGAUACCCUUUCUCAAAAUAAAAAGGGAUAGGGGUGUAGCUUAGUGGUGGAGCACCCCUGGGUUCAAUCCCCAGUAUAAAAAAAAAAGUCCCAUUGCCAGCAGGGCUGCUGAGGCCCGGUACUUGGCAGUCACACUGGGGGUGGGGGGUGGGGUCUGCUCCACUCUGAGCAAGGGGACUGUCCCACUGAGUCUGCAGAACUGGGCUGCCAGAAACCUGUGGUGCAGGAGUGCAGAGAGCCAGUAGAAGUCCAGGUAUUCGAGCUGCCCAGCUCUGCAACUUCAAGCUGAGUGACCUUUAGUAGGCCCCUAGGUCCUUUCUGGAGAAAAGGGGAGAUGGCAGAUGGUGGCAGGGUAGGGCAUUGGCAGCAGCCAAGUACCUGCCAGGGAGGUGUGGGUCUUCGUGGUGUGACCUUGGGAUGGACAACUUUGGGAUAGCGUGUGCCCAGUGGCUGGUUGCUAGCUGAAAUACUUGCUUUAAUUGGACGUCCAGUCUCCAGCCAUCUGGGGAGCAGCUCCUGGGGAGGUGCCCGGGUGGAGCGGGGAUGACCAAGAGAGAAACAAAAGCAGAGGCUGUGGAACAUGCCGGGCUGUUGGAGGGGUCCGAGAGCCACCCCAGCCUCUGGGACCCCGUGGGGCUCCUCUGUACCCCGUGACCUAGCCUAUGAUGAGUCUUCGUCCCCUUUGAGGAGUGGCUCUCAAGGUGCGUGGGGCCACAGAGCAUUGGUCCCCAUAGUCAUCUCUGGCAGGUGGCCUUGCCCAGCCCAGACAGCUGCUCCCCAGGCAAGGACCUGGGGGUGGGGACCUGUGACAGCUGGGCCAGGCCUGGAGUCUGUGCCUCUCAGCCGCCCAGCCUGAGCUUCUAAAUUUAACCGGCUAUCGGCUUGAGUGGCUGGAACCUGCCACUGCACCUCAAAUGCCACUCGGAAUCCACUCUUCUCCCCACCAGCCUCCUAGCACGGUCUGCUUCCUGAAGGUGGAGCCAUGCCGCGUGCCCACGCGAAGAUCCGUAUUCCUGGGUGCCUGCUCCGUCCUGGCGUGACCCGGGCCCACUUUCUCUGCCCUUGGUUCCCUGGUUCCCCCCCACCCCCGUCUCUCCCUCUCUCUCUGUCUCUCACACACACACACACAGCCUCUGUGGGCAGCACUCAGGGACCAGCUCCACAACCAAAAGCCAAACCACGACAGUGACGGCCCCACCCAGAAGCUGUCGGCGUGGAGGGCGGCCAUGAGGCCUGUUAUGCAAUUUCCUGCGUUGGUUUCUCAGACGCAGAGGCAGGAUGCAGAGCGCUGUGCGGAACCCAGAGAAGAAACCAGAUCCCAGUGCCCACUGUGGCUGCUCGGGCACCCUUACCCCUCAGUUCUGCAGGAAGGCCGCCCACCACCGCGGCCUAGCUAGACGGCCCGGCUGGAAGGGCCACAGAGGACAGGCCGCACAGAGACUUCCGGGAAGAAGUGGGUGGGGAGAAAGGCAUUUCCUGCCCCAAGGACCCGGGAUGGAGGGAGCUACAGCUUGGGGCCUUCUUAAUAGUAGUAACUGGUGUGAGUCACCACUCAGGCCCUGUAGGCAGGAGCGAGAGGCUGGCUCUGGGCCAGGGUUCGAAUCCUGGCUCUGCCUCUUCACAGGCACAUGCCUGAGGUGGCUCCUUGAUUCUGCUCUGUAUCUCUUCAUCUGUGAAAUGUGGGUAACACCUCCCAGUGGGACUAUGUGAGGACACUGUAGGACGCGGUGAGUUCCCUCCUGGCACGUUAUGCCAUGUCGGCCAGGAGGCAGCCACUCUGAGGAUCCCUUCCUGUAUGAGGUCUGAGUGUCUGCCAAAGCUGCACACAGGUGGCCUUGACCCCUUGGUCCACCUGGAGUAAGCCCAGACCCAGCUAACAGCCCCCUCAGAGAAGCAGGCUUCAGCUGGAGGGGAGGACUUCCCCUGGGUACAGCCCACCUGCCCCCCCGGCAGGUUUGGAGGCCUACAGGGUGGGCUGAGGAGAACCCAGUCUGAACUCUGAUCACCCCAGACAACAGGUUCUGCUGUUUGUCCCAAAGCCAAGCUGCUCUCAAGUCCCAGCUUGACUGCCAGCUUGCCACCCUCCUCCAUGCAGGGCACUGACCACCUCCUCCACCUAGAUGCUGGCCAGGGGCACUUCUGGGUGCAGAGAUCCCCCAGCUGUGGACAGGAGCAGCUGUGCUGAGGGACUGGCUGGCCUCCCCACCUGCAGGUCCUCAGCACCAGAACCCCAGCCUCACACCGUCCUCCCCUACCAGUGGCCCCGUGGCCACCACACCAAGCCAUCAUCCCCGAAAUGAAUCACCACCCCAGAAACACCCAGAUCCUAGC